rnacentral:rRNA from 1 species
GUAGGGAAUAUUGGGCAAUGGAUGCAAGUCUGACCCAGCCAUCCCGCGUGCCGGAAGAAGGCCCUCAGGGUUGUAAACGGCUUUUGACGGUGAAGAAUCGACAGGAUGCGUCCUGUUUUGACGGUAGCCGUUGAAUAAGCACCGGCUAACUCCGUGCCAGCAGCCGCGGUAAUACGGAGGGUGCGAGCGUUGUCCGGAUUUAUUGGGUUUAAAGGGUGCGUAGGCUGGAAGGUCAGUCAGCGGUGAAAAGCUGUCGCUUAACGAUAGUCUUGCCGCAGAUACUUCCUUUCUUGGAUGAGGAGGAGACCACUGGAACGGAUGGUGUAGCGGUGAAAUGCAUAGAUAUCAUCCAGAACACCGAUUGCGAAGGCAGGUGGCUGUACCUUAAUCGACGCUGAUGCACGAAAGCAUGGGGAGCAAACAGGAUUAGAAACCCUAGUAGUCC